AAGAUAUCUAAAGGGCUUUUGGAGAAGUAUGGUCCUGAAAGGGUUCUUGAUACUCCGAUUACUGAGGCUGGAUUUACUGGCAUUGGAGUUGGCGCUGCUUACUAUGGUCUCAAGCCAGUUGUUGAGUUUAUGACAUUUAACUUUUCUAUGCAGGCAAUUGACCAUAUCAUUAAUUCCGCCGCAAAAUCCAAUUACAUGUCUGCUGGCCAGAUAUCUGU
rnacentral:misc_RNA from 1 species